UAGGGAAUCUUCCGCAAUGGACGAAAGUCUGACGGAGCAACGCCGCGUGAGUGAAGAAGGAUUUCGGUUCGUAAAACUCUGUUGUUAGGGAAGAAAAAAUGUAUAGUAACUAUAUACAAAAGAGACGGUACCUAACCAGAAAGCCACGGCUAACUACGUGCCAGCAGCCGCGGUAAUACGUAGGUGGCAAGCGUUGUCCGGAAUUAUUGGGCGUAAAGCGCGCGCAGGUGGUUUAGAAAGUCUGAUGUGAAAGCCCACGGCUCAACCGUGGAGGGUCAUUGGAAACUAAUAAACUUGAGUGCAGGAGAGAAAAGUGGAAUUCCUAGUGUAGCGGUGAAAUGCGUAGAGAUUAGGAGGAACACCGGUGGCGAAAGCGGCUUUUUGGCCUGCAAAUGACACUGAGGCGCGAAAGCGUGGGGAGCAAACAGG
rnacentral:rRNA from 1 species